GGGCCUGUUGUUUAGUGGUAGAAUGCCGCUGUCGCACAGCGGAGGCGGAGGUUCGAUUCCUCCCAGGUCCA
rnacentral:tRNA from 1 species